CAAGGUUGUUCAUGAGGAAUCUGAAUCCUUAUUGAUUUGCAAUGAUGGUGUUACAAUACAUGCUGCUGUGGUGCUUGAUGCAACUGGCUUUUCUAGAUGCCUUGUUCAGUAUGAUAAGCCAUAUAAUCCAGGUUAUCAAGUGGCUUAUGGAAUUUUAGCCGAGGUAGAAGAGCACCCAUUUGACAUAGAUAAGAUGGUUUUUAUGGAUUGGAGAGAUUCACAUUUGGAUAAUAAUUUGGAGGUAAAAGAGAGAAAUAGAAAGAUCCCUACUUUUUUAUAUGCAAUGCCCUUUUCUUCAGGGAGAAUAUUUCUUGAAGAAACUUCUCUAGUUGCUCGGCCUGGAGUACCCAUGGAAGAUAUCCAGGAAAGGAUGGUGGCUAGAUUAAGGCACCUAGGCAUAAAAGUGAAAAGUAUUGAAGAAGACGAGCGUUGUGUCAUCCCAAUGGGUGGUCCCCUUCCCGUCCUGCCUCAAAGAGUUGUUGGAAUUGGUGGUACAGCUGGCAUGGUUCACCCUUCAACUGGGUAUAUGGUAGCGAGAACUCUAGCUGCAGCUCCAAUAGUUGCCAAUUCCAUAGUCCAGUACCUUGGUUCUGGUAGAGGCCUCUCAGGGAAUGAAUUGGCAGCAGAAGUUUGGAAAGAUUUAUGGCCCAUACAGAGGAGGAGACAAAGGGAGUUCUUCUGUUUUGGAAUGGAUAUUCUGUUGAAGCUUGAUUUACAAGCCACAAGAAGGUUUUUUGAUGCAUUCUUUGACCUGGAACCUCAUUAUUGGCAUGGUUUUUUGUCGUCUCGACUAUUUCUCCCUGAGCUUAUAUUUUUUGGUCUUUCAUUGUUUUCCCAUGCUUCUAAUACUUCCAGGAUAGAGAUUAUGACAAAGGGUACUCUUCCUUUGGUUUACAUGAUCAACAAUUUAGUACAAGAUAGAGAAUAGAUGGCUAGGAUUCCAUUUGUUGUCUUCUAAUUUUGUUGAAAACUGCAUCUUGAAAAUUUAUAUGCUGUUGUUGCCCUAAUUGUUAAUAGAAUACAAAUUACUUCUUGUAUUGUUAUCUUAAUUACAGGUUUGA
rnacentral:misc_RNA from 1 species